UUAAGCUAUAAAGAGCACAGGGCGGAUGCCUAGGCACUGGGAGCCGAAGAAGGACGUGAUAAGCUGCGAAAAGCCGCGGGGAGGAGCAAAUAUCCAUUGAGCCGCGGAUGUCCGAAUGGGGAAACCCACUUGAGCAGACCUCAAGUACCCAUGCGCCAAUCCAUAACGCAUGGGAGGGAACCCGGGGAACUGAAACAUCUAAGUACCCGGAGGAAGAGAAAGAAACAUCGAUUUCCCAAGUAGCGGCGAGCGAACGGGAAAGAGCCCAAACCACGGAAUUUAUUCUGUGGGGUUAGGACUGCAUAAUUGAUUUGCGAUUGAUAGGAGAACGGUCUGGGAAGUCCGGCGAAAAAGCGUGAAAGCCGCGUAUCCGAAAUCGAAAGCAACAUGGCAGGAUCCAGAGUACCACGAGACACGUGAAACCUUGUGGGAAUGAGCGGAGACCACUCCGUAAGGCUAAAUACUACCCAGUGACCGAUAGCGCAUAGUACUGUGAAGGAAAGGUGAAAAGGACCCCGGGAGGGGAGUGAAAGAGAACCUGAAACCCUGUGUCUACAAGCUGUGGGAGCACUUUAUAUGUGCGACCGCGUACUUUUUGUAGAACGGUCCGGCGAGUUACGCUUACUGGCAAGGUUAAGCACUUCAGGUGCGGAGCCGUAGGGAAACCAAGUCUUAAGAGGGCCAGAGUCAGUAGGAGUAGACCCGAAACCGGGUGAUCUAUCCAUGUCCAGGUUGAAGCUGCCGUAAGAGGUAGUGGAGGACCGAACCCACAUCCGUUGAAAAGGGUGGGGAUGAGGUGUGGAUAGGGGAGAAAUUCCAAUCGAACCCGGAGAUAGCUGGUUCUCCUCGAAAUAGCUUUAGGGCUAGCCCAUGACAAGUCUGCCGCAGGUAGAGCACUGAAUUUCCUAGGGGGCGUCAAAGCCUACCGAAGAAUAUCAAACUCCGAAUGGCGGCCAGAUGGUGUCAUGGAGUCAGACUGCACGAGAUAAGUUGGGUGGUCAAAAGGGAAAGAGCCCAGACCCACAGCUAAGGUCCCAAAGUGCGUGUUAAGUGGAAAAGGAUGUGGGAUUUCGAAGACAACUAGGAUGUUGGCUCAGAAGCAGCCACACAUUAAAAGAGUGCGUAAUAGCUCACUAGUCGAGAGGUCCUGCGCCGAAAAUGUCCGGGGCUGAAACACGACACCGAAGCUUGGGAAUCCUACGGGAUUGGUAGAGGAGCAUUGAAGACGGGACGAAGCGUAACCGUAAGGAUACGUGGACUGUCUUGAAGAGAGAAUGCCGGAAUGAGUAGCGAGAAUGAAGUGAGAAUCUUCAUGGCCGAAUAUCUAAGGUUUCCAGGGUAAAGCUGAUCUGCCCUGGGUAAGUCGGGACCUAAGGCGAGGUCGAAAGACGUAGCCGAUGGACAACAGGUUGAAAUUCCUGUACUGCAUUAAAUCAGAACUGUGGGGACACAGAAGGAAGGCAUGAGCCGGAAAAGGAAAAUCCGGUGCAAGCAUGGGAGGGGUAUGACAGGCAAAUCCGUCAUGCAACCCGAGAAUGUGACGCGGAGCGAACAAAAGUAGCGAAGCAUGCUUACCGGCUGUCGAGAAAAGCCGCUAUUGCGUUUAAUGCACCCGUACCGUAAACCGACACAGGUGGAUGAGGAGAGAAUCCUAAGGCCGGCGGGAGAAGCAUUGUUAAGGAACUCGGCAAAAUGACCCCGUAACUUCGGGAGAAGGGGUGCUCUUAGAAAUAAGAGCCGCAGAGAAUUGGCCCAAGCAACUGUUUAGCAAAAACACAGGUCUAUGCAAAACCGAAAGGUGAGGUAUAUGGGCUGACGCCUGCCCGGUGCUGGAAGGUUAAGAGGAGAGGUCAGAGCAAUCGAAGCCUUGAAUUUAAGCCCCAGUAAACGGCGGCCGUAACUAUAACGGUCCUAAGGUAGCGAAAUUCCUUGUCGGGUAAGUUC
rnacentral:rRNA from 1 species